UACGUAGGGGGCAAGCGUUGUCCGGAUUUAUUGGGCGUAAAGAGCUCGUAGGCGGUUUGGUAAGUCAGGUGUGAAACCUCUAGGCUUAACCUGGAGACGCCACUUGAUACUGCUAUGACUUGAGUCUGGUAGGGGACCAUGGAAUUCCUGGUGUAGCGGUGAAAUGCGCAGAUAUCAGGAGGAACACCAGUAGCGAAGGCGGUGGUCUGGGCCAGUACUGACGCUGAGGAGCGAAAGCGUGGGGAGCGAACAGG
rnacentral:rRNA from 1 species